GCUUGGGUGGCUCAGUCGGUUAAGUGUUUGACUUCAGCUCAGGUCAUGAUCUCACAGUUUGUGGGUUCAAGCCCCACGUCAGGCU
rfam:Felis catus isolate Cinnamon breed Abyssinian chromosome A1, whole genome shotgun sequence.